UUAAGCGACUAAGCGUACACGGUGGAUGCCCUGGCAGUCAGAGGCGAUGAAGGACGUGCUAAUCUGCGAAAAGCGCCGGCGAGGUGAUAUGAACCUUUGACCCGGCGAUGUCCGAAUGGGGAAACCCAGUGUGAUUCGUCACACUAUCGUUAACUGAAUACAUAGGUUAACGAGGCGAACCGGGGGAACUGAAACAUCUAAGUACCCCGAGGAAAAGAAAUCAACCGAGAUUCCCCCAGUAGCGGCGAGCGAACGGGGAGCAGCCCAGAGUCUGAAUCAGCUUGUGUGUUAGUGGAAGCGUCUGGAAAGUCGCACGGUACAGGGUGACAGUCCCGUACACGAAAGCACACAGGUUGUGAACUCGAAGAGUAGGGCGGGACACGUGGUAUCCUGUCUGAAUAUGGGGGGACCAUCCUCCAAGGCUAAAUACUCCUGACUGACCGAUAGUGAACCAGUACCGUGAGGGAAAGGCGAAAAGAACCCCGGCGAGGGGAGUGAAAAAGAACCUGAAACCGUGUACGUACAAGCAGUGGGAGCACCUUCGUGGUGUGACUGCGUACCUUUUGUAUAAUGGGUCAGCGACUUAUAUUCUGUAGCAAGGUUAACCGUAUAGGGGAGCCGAAGGGAAACCGAGUCUUAACUGGGCGUUAAGUUGCAGGGUAUAGACCCGAAACCCGGUGAUCUAGCCAUGGGCAGGUUGAAGGUUGGGUAACACUAACUGGAGGACCGAACCGACUAAUGUUGAAAAAUUAGCGGAUGACUUGUGGCUGGGGGUGAAAGGCCAAUCAAACCGGGAGAUAGCUGAUUCUCCCCGAAAGCUAUUUAGGUAGCGCCUCGUGAACUCAUCUUCGGGGGUAGAGCACUGUUUCGGCUAGGGGGCCAUCCCGGCUUACCAACCCGAUGCAAACUACGAAUACCGAAGAAUGUUAUCACGGGAGACACACGGCGGGUGCUAACGUCCGUCGUGAAGAGGGAAACAACCCAGACCGCCAGCUAAGGUCCCAAAGUCAUGGUUAAGUGGGAAACGAUGUGGGAAGGCACAGACAGCCAGGAUGUUGGCUUAGAAGCAGCCAUCAUUUAAAGAAAGCGUAAUAGCUCACUGGUCGAGUCGGCCUGCGCGGAAGAUGUAACGGGGCUAAACCAUGCACCGAAGCUGCGGCAGCGACACUAUGUGUUGUUGGGUAGGGGAGCGUUCUGUAAGCCGUUGAAGGUGUGCUGUGAGGCAUGCUGGAGGUAUCAGAAGUGCGAAUGCUGACAUAAGUAACGAUAAAGCGGGUGAAAAGCCCGCUCGCCGGAAGACCAAGGGUUCCUGUCCAACGUUAAUCGGGGCAGGGUGAGUCGACCCCUAAGGCGAGGCCGAAAGGCGUAGUCGAUGGGAAACAGGUUAAUAUUCCUGUACUUGGUGUUACUGCGAAGGGGGGACGGAGAAGGCUAUGUUAGCCGGGCGACGGUUGUCCCGGUUUAAGCAUGUAGGCGGAACGAUUAGGUAAAUCCGGUCGUUUUUUAACGCUGAGGUGUGAUGACGAGGCACUACGGUGCUGAAGUAACAAAUGCCCUGCUUCCAGGAAAAGCCUCUAAGCAUCAGGUAACAUCAAAUCGUACCCCAAACCGACACAGGUGGUCAGGUAGAGAAUACCAAGGCGCUUGAGAGAACUCGGGUGAAGGAACUAGGCAAAAUGGUGCCGUAACUUCGGGAGAAGGCACGCUGAUAUGUAGGUGAAGCCCCUGCGGGUGGAGCUGAAAUCAGUCGAAGAUACCAGCUGGCUGCAACUGUUUAUUAAAAACACAGCACUGUGCAAACACGAAAGUGGACGUAUACGGUGUGACGCCUGCCCGGUGCCGGAAGGUUAAUUGAUGGGGUUAGCGGCAACGCGAAGCUCUUGAUCGAAGCCCCGGUAAACGGCGGCCGUAACUAUAACGGUCCUAAGGUAGCGAAAUUCCUUGUCGGGUAAGUUCCGACCUGCACGAAUGGCGUAAUGAUGGCCAGGCUGUCUCCACCCGAGACUCAGUGAAAUUGAACUCGCUGUGAAGAUGCAGUGUACCCGCGGCAAGACGGAAAGACCCCGUGAACCUUUACUAUAGCUUGACACUGAACACUGGUCCUUGAUGUGUAGGAUAGGUGGGAGGCUUUGAAGUGUGGACGCCAGUCUGCAUGGAGCCGUCCUUGAAAUACCACCCUUUAAUGGCUGGUGUUCUAACGUAGACCCGUAAUCCGGGUUGCGGACAGUGUCUGGUGGGUAGUUUGACUGGGGCGGUCUCCUCCCAAAGAGUAACGGAGGAGCACGAAGGUUAGCUAAUCCUGGUCGGACAUCAGGAGGUUAGUGCAAUGGCAUAAGCUAGCUUGACUGCGAGAGUGACGGCUCGAGCAGGUGCGAAAGCAGGUCAUAGUGAUCCGGUGGUUCUGAAUGGAAGGGCCAUCGCUCAACGGAUAAAAGGUACUCCGGGGAUAACAGGCUGAUACCGCCCAAGAGUUCAUAUCGACGGCGGUGUUUGGCACCUCGAUGUCGGCUCAUCACAUCCUGGGGCUGAAGUAGGUCCCAAGGGUAUGGCUGUUCGCCAUUUAAAGUGGUACGCGAGCUGGGUUUAGAACGUCGUGAGACAGUUCGGUCCCUAUCUGCCGUGGGCGCUGGAGAAUUGAGGGGGGCUGCUCCUAGUACGAGAGGACCGGAGUGGACGCAUCACUGGUGUUCGGGUUGUCAUGCCAAUGGCACUGCCCGGUAGCUAAAUGCGGAAAAGAUAAGUGCUGAAAGCAUCUAAGCACGAAACUUGCCCCGAGAUGAGUUCUCCCUGAGACUUUAAGUCUCCUGAAGGAACGUUGAAGACGACGACGUUGAUAGGUCGGGUGUGUAAGCGCAGCGAUGCGUUGAGCUAACCGAUACUAAUGAACCGUGAGGCUUAACCU
rnacentral:rRNA from 1 species